rnacentral:lncRNA from 1 species
GGGAAUUGUAGAAUGUCUCAUGGAAUGAUAGGGUUUGAGUCUUCUUUAGGGAAAAUUUGGGAAUAGCUGUGAGCAUUUACAUAUUUUCCCUUAGGCUGAUUUUCCGCUAGGCCACGAUCAAACCACUUUCGCGCGAUCAAACCACUUUGGCGCGAUCGCGGGCAAUGCCACACGAUCGCGAUAUCUUGACCAUCUUGACUGACCAACACCGUGGUUUGAGGACCAUGAUUACAGUAUGAGGACCGUGAUUGUGAUAACUGAGGCCAUGUUUUACCCUAGGUCUUCAGCUGUACCUUUUUCUCCCUUUUGUUUCUCUUUAUCUCCACUCCACAUUUUUCCAUCUUAUCAUCUUGGUUUCUGCAAAAUAUGCAUAUUAGUAUAUUUAAUCACAAAUUAUGUCUCACUUAUUCAUUCAAAGCAUGGUAAUAUGCACGAAUAUGGACUAUAAUUGAGUGGUAGAUUCACCACUCAUCAAUGACUAAAGUGCCAAAUGGUGAACAAAUCUGAACAGGUCCAAACUCGAAUUGAACAUCGAAA